UUUGUUUAAUUCUUGCUCUUCAAGAAGUCAAAUAAAGUGAACCCUGUUGGCCUGGUAGCUGAUGACCACAAGCCCAGCCCCUCCUCUGGACAUCUUCAGGACUAUAAGUCUAUCAGGCAGAAUGCUCGUGUUUCAUAAGCAUUUUAUUAUGGUGACUGAUGCUGCAGUUCUGAUUAAUCUUAUCUUUUGCAGCUUCACACAUAGAACAAAAUGCUUUUACAUCCUCUAGAAAAAAAGGCCGUAAACUUCUGCCUCGAAAGUGUUCAGCGAUCUCCAAAACCAUGCGAGCCUCAUUCAGAUGCAUGGCUAAACCAUCAUAAACACUGGUUCAUUGAUAUUGAUGAAUAAAGGCUUUCUGUAGCUCAAUCCUGGAUUAGUAUUUAUUUAAUAAUAUGUGGAUUCUUCUUAGUUAGGGUGUCGUUGGGAGCGAAACACUUGAAACCUGAUAUUCCAUGUCCCUCAGAAAUUUCAAACUUUUUUUUUUUUUAGGUUUGAUUGUGUUUUAAAUGUUUUAAUAUACCAUCUAAAUAAUUCUGUGAUUAUUUGUAUUUGUCUAUGUGAUGUAAAUGCUUGAGACCAUAGGCUACAAAAUACAAGACUCAGGUCACUCCCACUGUCCUGCUUGGAAAUAGAGACCAAGAUAAAAGACAGCUCAGAAAGAUAAAACAUCAGCACAGAAAGAAUAUAUGGGAGAAUGACUCAUCACAGAACACCAGUGCUCAGUGGUUAGAAGAUCUCAAAGCAGAGCACCACAAUCUCCCAGAGCAGGAAAUGGUCAGCUUUACAAAAGCAGGUUUUGCCUCUGCCUCUCCGGUAUCCCUCAUCCCAAUCCACACCAGGUUUCCUGGUGAGCAGAGCACCAUAUAAAAGGAAGAGGAAGAGACAAGGGCUCAGCUUAGGAUUUGUUGGAGAAAUGAUUGUUGUUGAUAGUGUU